rnacentral:rRNA from 1 species
UGGGGAAUUUUGGACAAUGGGGGCAACCCUGAUCCAGCCAUCCCGCGUGUGCGAUGAAGGCCUUCGGGUUGUAAAGCACUUUUGGCAGGGAAGAAACAGCCUGGGAUAAUACCCCGGGCGACUGACGGUACCUGCAGAAUAAGCACCGGCUAACUACGUGCCAGCAGCCGCGGUAAUACGUAGGGUGCAAGCGUUAAUCGGAAUUACUGGGCGUAAAGCGUGCGCAGGCGGUUCGGAAAGAAAGGUGUGAAAUCCCAGGGCUUAACCUUGGAACUGCACUUUUAACUACCGAGCUAGAGUACGUCAGAGGGGGGUAGAAUUCCACGUGUAGCAGUGAAAUGCGUAGAGAUGUGGAGGAAUACCGAUGGCGAAGGCAGGCCCCUGGGAUGAUACUGACGCUCAUGCACGAAAGCGUGGGGAGCAAACAGGAUUAGAUACCCUGGUAGUCCACGCCCU